UGCGCGAGAAGUAUGCGGAAUGCGUGGUGUAGCGGUGAAAUGCAUAGAUAUCACGCAGAACUCCGAUUGCGAAGGCAGCAUACCGGCGCGCAACUGACGCUCAUGCACGAAAGCGUGGGUAUCGAACAGGAUUAGAUACCCUGGUAGUCCACGCAGUAAACGAUGAACACUAACUGUUCGGCCAGAAUGAUGGCUGAGUGGUACAGCGAAAGCGUUAAGUGUUCCACCUGGGGAGUACGCCGGCAACGGUGAAACUCAAAGGAAUUGACGGGGGCCCGCACAAGCGGAGGAACAUGUGGUUUAAUUCGAUGAUACGCGAGGAACCUUACCCGGGCUCAAACGACACAGGAAUACUUUUGAAAGGAGGUAGCCCUACGGGGUCUGUGUCGAGGUGCUGCAUGGUUGUCGUCAGCUCGUGCCGUGAGGUGUCGGCUUAAGUGCCAUAACGAGCGCAACCCCUAUCGCCAGUUACCAUCAAGUAAAGUUGGGGACUCUGGCGAGACUGCCGGCGCAAGCUGAGAGGAAGGCGGGGAUGACGUCAAAUCAGCACGGCCCUUACGUCCGGGGCGACACACGUGUUACAAUGGCAGGUACAGAGAGAAGCCAGGUGGCGACACCGCGCGGAACUCGAAAGCCUGUCUCAGUUCGGAUCGGAGUCUGCAACCCGACUCCGUGAAGCUGGAUUCGCUAGUAAU
rnacentral:rRNA from 1 species